rnacentral:rRNA from 1 species
GACGGAGGAUGCAAGCGUUAUCCGGAAUGAUUGGGCGUAAAGCGUCCGCAGGUGGCAGUUCAAGUCUGCUGUCAAAGACCGGGGCUUAACUUCGGAAAGGCAGUGGAAACUGAACAGCUAGAGUAUGGUAGGGGCAGAGGGAAUUCCUGGUGUAGCGGUGAAAUGCGUAGAGAUCAGGAAGAACAUCGGUGGCGAAGGCGCUCUGCUGGACCAUAACUGACGCUGAGGCGCGAAAGCUAGGGGAGCAAACAGG